CUCUUUUCAGACUCAGCCCGCCUGCACCCAGGUGAAAUAAACAGCCAUGUUGCUCACACAAAGCCUGUUUGGUGAUCUCUUCACACGGACGUGCAUGAAAGUCAACAUUAUUUAUUGAUUGACUGCAGGCCUCAUUAUAUUCCAUUGGAUGGCUUUACAAAUGUCACCAUCAUGAACAUCUCACAUUAGUUCUUAUACCAUAAGGGAAAUGACCUGACAAAAAUGUGGAAUCCCAAAAGAAAUUUGAAAACUGAAAGCAACUGGAAUUAGUUUCCUUGUUGAGACUGUCUUUUCAAUAGCAUUCUUUAGAUGUCAUCUCCAUCCUCCUAAAAUCGAACCAAACCAAACCAAACCAAACACCAUUCUAUGAUGUUUAUACACAUUUACUGAAGAUGCAAGCUGGAAGCUGGAAAGGAUGCUACAUGCAAAAUGACAGAGUAAAUAAAAAUAAACUAAACCUAUAUUUUUGAGUUUGUGAUAUUAACAGUUUAAGUUCUUUUUACCAGUUCCAGUUCUAUUCUCUUUGCCUAAAGUGUUUCAGUAUUUCUAAACUUGCAAUUGCUAUCACUAGUAUUACUAUUGUUAUUAUUAUUAAUACGUAUCUCUUUAUUUGGACCUCAGUUAUAUAAAAUUGGAUUAAUCCUAAUUUUUGCUAUCUGUAUGCCUAAAUAAUAUAUUUUCCUUGCUUAUUGUUAAACCUUUGAU
rnacentral:lncRNA from 10 species